rnacentral:rRNA from 1 species
GACGAACGCUGGCGGCGUGCCUAACACAUGCAAGUCGAACGGAGAUAUGAUUUCGGUUGUAUCUUAGUGGCGAACGGGUGAGUAACGCGUGAGCAACCUGACUCUUAGAGGGGGAUAACACUCGGAAACGGGUGCUAAUACCGCAUAAGACCACGACAUGGCAUCAUGACGAGGUCAAAGGAGCAAUCCGCUGAGAGAGGGGCUCGCGUCCCAUUAGAUAGAUGGCGGGGUAACGGCCCACCAUGUCAACGAUGGGUAGCCGAGCUGAGAGGCUGAUCGGCCACACUGGAACUGAGACACGGUCCAGACUCCUACGGGAGGCAGCAGUGGGGAAUAUUGGGCAAUGGGCGCAAGCCUGACCCAGCAACGCCGCGUGAGGGAAGAAGGCUUUCGGGUUGUAAACCUCUGUCCUUGGUGACGAAAAAAAUGACGGUAGCCAAGGAGGAAGCCCCGGCUAACUACGUGCCAGCAGCCGCGGUAAAAC